GACGAACGCUGGCGGCGUGCCUAAUACAUGCAAGUAGGACGCACAGUUUAUACCGUAGCUUGCUACACCAUAGACUGUGAGUUGCGAACGGGUGAGUAACGCGUAGGUAACCUGCCUAUUAGAGGGGGAUAACUAUUGGAAACGAUAGCUAAUACCGCAUAACAGUAUGUAACACAUGUUAGAUGCUUGAAAGAUGCAAUUGCAUCGCUAGUAGAUGGACCUGCGUUGUAUUAGCUAGUAGGUAGGGUAAUGGCCUACCUAGGCGACGAUACAUAGCCGACCUGAGAGGGUGAUCGGCCACACUGGGACUGAGACACGGCCCAGACUCCUACGGGAGGCAGCAGUAGGGAAUCUUCGGCAAUGGGGGGAACCCUGACCGAGCAACGCCGCGUGAGUGAAGAAGGUUUUCGGAUCGUAAAGCUCUGUUGUUAAGGAAGAACGAGUGUGAGAAUGGAAAGUUCAUACUGUGACGCUACUAACCAGAAAGGACG
rnacentral:rRNA from 1 species